UUUCCAGCUCGGCUGUCGGCGGCGCCAACCGCGUGAACACAAGCGUGAUACCGUGCUAGGCUGGACUCGGGCAUUAUGCUAGUGUUCGCGGGGCUGGUUGCGCCCGGACUCAAACAUGCGCGU
rnacentral:precursor_RNA from 14 species